rnacentral:rRNA from 1 species
UGGGGAAUAUUGCACAAUGGGGGAAACCCUGAUGCAGCGACGCCGCGUGAGCGAAGAAGGCUUUCGAGUCGUAAAGCUCUGUCCUCUGAGAAGAUAAUGACGGUAUCAUAGGAGGAAGCCCUGGCUAAAUACGUGCCAGCAGCCGCGGUAAUACGUAUGGGGCGAGCGUUGUCCGGAAUUAUUGGGCGUAAAGGGUACGUAGGCGGUCUAUUAAGUCAGGUGUGAAAGCGUGAGGCUUAACCUCAUUAAGCACUUGAAACUGAUAGACUUGAGUGAAGGAGAGGAAAGUGGAAUUCCUAGUGUAGCGGUGAAAUGCGUAGAUAUUAGGAGGAAUACCGGUGGCGAAGGCGACUUUCUGGACUUUUACUGACGCUCAGGUACGAAAGCGUGGGGAGCAAACAGG